GACGGAGGAUGCAAGUGUUAUCCGGAAUCACUGGGCGUAAAGCGUCUGUAGGUGGUUUAAAAAGUCUACUGUUAAAAAUUGAAGCUUAACUUCAAAGAUGCCGUAGAAACUUUUAAACUCGAGGAUGGUAGGGGUAGAGGGAAUUUCCAGUGGAGCGGUGAAAUGCGUAGAUCUUGGAAAGACCACCAAUGGCGAAGGCACUCUACUGGGCCAUUACUGACACUAGAGACGAAAGCUAGGGGAGCAAAUGGG
rnacentral:rRNA from 1 species